AUCUACAUAAUAUUCGAAUAAUUGGAAUCGUUUUUUUUUAUGUUUGUUGGAAAAUCUGCGAUUCCUUUACUACUGUAGUGUGUUCGAUUUUUGAAUUAUUUAUCUAGACGAUUAUUGUAUUGAGGUCUAUAUUCCAUUCAAUUUUCUAAUUGAUACCUCGCUUCAUACUCAAUUAUGUCAAUUUACACUCUACGUGUGUGGCAACUCGCCACUUGCCAUUGCGUCAUGCGCGUCCUUGUCUAUUAUGAAGGUGUGGCGAGGUCUCCAUGGUAACCAGGCUUGGGACCAGUGACCUAAGUCACUGUUCGUGUAAUAGGAUUUGGCAUCCGUUUAUUUGGUCAGGUGCCUUGAUUGAGUAAGAGCUGGUAGCCACCACGACACACUCCAGGCCUCAAUGAACCAGUUUGAAUUAGAACCGUCAUGGUGUUUGAGGUUGUUGCUGUGCUUAAGGCCCUAUUCCAGCACGAAUUGCUGUGUCAGUGUCUCGGGGUGGACUGCGGUACGCAAGGGAGAGCUGGAGAGCUGAGGCGCGCCGGCCCGUAAUAACAAUUGGCUAUGUAAAUUAAAUUAAUGUA